GACGAAGGCUGGCGGCGUGGAUUAGGCAUGCAAGUCGGACGGUAGGGCUUUAUCGUAAGAUAGAGUUUGAGAGUGGCGAACGGGUGAGUAAUGCAUGAGAACGUAUCCUCAAGAGGGGGACAACAUUGGGAAACCGAUGUUAAUACCCCAUAAGCCGGGAGGUAAAAGGAGCAAUCCGCUUGAGGAGCGGUUCAUGUCCUAUCAGCUGGUUGGUGAGGUAACGGCUCACCAAGGCGAAGACGGGUAGCCGGCCUGAGAGGGUGAACGGCCACACUGGAACUGAGAGACGGUCCAGACUCCUACGGGAGGCAGCAGUGGGGAAUAUUGGGCAAUGGGGGAAACCCUGACCCAGCGACGCCGCGUGAGGGAAGAAGGCCUUAGGGUCGUAAACCUCUGUUGUGUGGGAAGAAGAGCGUGACGGUACCACACGAGGAAGUCCCGGCUAACUACGUGCCAGCAGCCGCGGUAAGAUAGCGUACU
rnacentral:rRNA from 1 species